GAUGAACGCUAGCGGCAGGCUUAACACAUGCAAGUCGAGGGGCAGCAUGACGGAACCUUCGGGUUUUGUUGAUGGCGACCGGCGCAAGGGUGCGUAACGCGUGAGCAACUUGCCCGUUUCAGGGGGAUAACCGGUGGAAACGCCGACUAAUACCCCAUAGCAUCACAUUGAGGCAUCUUUAUGUGAUUAAAGAAUUUCGGAAAUGGAUAGGCUCGCGUGACAUUAGCUAGAUGGCGGGGUAACGGCCCACCAUGGCGACGAUCGUUAGGGGUUCUGAGAGGAAGGUCCCCCACACUGGAACUGAGACACGGUCCAGACUCCUACGGGAGGCAGCAGUGAGGAAUAUUGGUCAAUGGGCGGGAGCCUGAACCAGCCAAGUAGCGUGAAGGAUGACUGCCCUACGGGUUGUAAACUUCUUUUGUUGGGAAUAAAAGACGCUACGUGUAGCGUUCUGCAUGUACCUUAGAAUAAGCAUCGGCUAAUUCCGUGCCAGCAGCCG
rnacentral:rRNA from 1 species